UACGAAGGGGGCUAGCGUUGUUCGGAAUUACUGGGCGUAAAGGGCGCGUAGGCUGUGCUGCAAGUCAGGCGUGAAAGGCCCGGGCUCAACCUGGGAACUGCGCAUGAUACUGCGGCGCUUGAAGGCGGGAGAGGAUGGCGGAAUUCCCAGUGUAGAGGUGAAAUUCGUAGAUAUUGGGAAGAACACCGGUGGCGAAGGCGGCCAUCUGGCCCGUGAUUGACGCUGAGGCGCGAAAGCGUGGGGAGCAAACAGG
rnacentral:rRNA from 1 species